CCUACGGGUGGCAGCAGUGAGGAAUAUUGGUCAAUGGACGAGAGUCUGAACCAGCCAAGUAGCGUGAAGGAUGACUGCCCUAUGGGUUGUAAACUUCUUUUAUAAAGGAAUAAAAUGAGGCACGUGUGCCUUUUUGUAUGUACUUUAUGAAUAAGGAUCGGCUAACUCCGUGCCAGCAGCCGCGGUAAUACGGAGGAUCCGAGCGUUAUCCGGAUUUAUUGGGUUUAAAGGGAGCGUAGAUGGGUUGAUAAGUCAGUUGUGAAAGUUUGCGGCUCAACCGUGCAAUUGCAAUUGAUACUGGCAGUCUUGAGUGCAGGUGAGGUAGGCGGAAUUCGUGGUGUAGCGGUGAAAUGCUUAGAUAUCACGAAGAACUCCGAUUGCGAAGGCAGCUAACUAA
rnacentral:rRNA from 1 species